CUGGUUGAUCCUGCCAGUAGUCAUAUGCUUGUCUCAAGACUAAGCCAUGCAUGUCUCAGUAUAAGGCAUCUCACGUCGAAGCUGGCAAUGGCUCAUUAAAACAGUUAUAGUAUACCUGCUGGUCGCAUUGUUAUACGGCAUACCUGUUAGCAAUUCUAGAGCUAAUACGUGCGUAAAGACCCGACCCUUCUUGGAAGGGUUAUAUUUGUUAGAUCCAGAACCAGCUCUCUUGAGAGAUUUCGGAUGAUUCAUAAUAAACGAACGGAGCGUAGGGCUUGAGCCGACGCUGUAGCAGUGAAGUUUCUGACCUAUCAAGCUAUCGACGGUAGGGUAUUGGCCUACCGUGGCAUUGACGGGUAACGGGGAAUUAGGGUUCGAUCCGGAGAGGGAGCCCGAGAAACGGCUACCACAUCUAAAGGAAGGCAGCAGGCGCGCAAAUUACCCAAUCCUGACUCAGGGAGGUAGUGACAAGAAAUAACAAAGACGGCCCUCU
rnacentral:rRNA from 1 species